ACCUGCCUGUAAGACUGGGAUAACUCCGGGAAACCCGGAGCUAAUACCGGAUAGUUCCUUGAACCGCAUGGUUCAAGGAUGAAAGACGGUUUCGGCUGUCACUUACAGAUGGACCCGCGGCGCAUUAGCUAGUUGGUGGGGUAAUGGCUCACCAAGGCGACGAUGCGUAGCCGACCUGAGAGGGUGAUCGGCCACACUGGGACUGAGACACGGCCCAGACUCCUACGGGAGGCAGCAGUAGGGAAUCUUCCGCAAUGGACGAAAGUCUGACGGAGCAACGCCGCGUGAGUGAUGAAGGUUUUCGGAUCGUAAAGCUCUGUUGUUAGGGAAGAACAAGUGCGAGAGUAACUGCUCGCACCUUGACGGUACCUAACCAGAAAGCCACGGCUAACUACGUGCCAGCAGCCGCGGUAAUACGUAGGUGGCAAGCGUUGUCCGGAAUUAUUGGGCGUAAAGGGCUCGCAGGCGGUUUCUUAAGUCUGAUGUGAAAGCCCCCGGCUCAACCGGGGAGGGUCAUUGGAAACUGGGAAACUUGAGUGCAGAAGAGGAGAGUGGAAUUCCACGUGUAGCGGUGAAAUGCGUAGAGAUGUGGAGGAACACCAGUGGCGAAGGCGACUCUCUGGUCUGUAACUGACGCUGAGGAGCGAAAGCGUGGGGAGCGAACAGGAUUAGAUACCCUGGUAGUCCACGCCGUAAACGAUGAGUGCUAAGUGUUAGGGGGUUUCCGCCCCUUAGUGCUGCAGCUAACGCAUUAAGC
rnacentral:rRNA from 1 species